rnacentral:rRNA from 1 species
AAGCCAGACUCCUACGGGAGGCAGCAGUGGGGAAUAUUGCACAAUGGGGGAAACCCUGAUGCAGCAACGCCGCGUGAGUGAAGAAGUAUUUCGGUAUGCAAAGCUCUAUCAGCAGGGAAGAAGAAAGACGGUACCUGACUAAGAAGCCCCGGCUAACUACGUGCCAGCAGCCGCGGUAAUACGUAGGGGGCAAGCGUUAUCCGGAUUUACUGGGUGUAAAGGGAGCGUAGACGGCAUAGCAAGUCUGAAGUGAAAGCCCGUGGCUCAACCGCGGAACUGCUUUGGAAACUGUUAAGCUGGAGUACUGGAGAGGCAAGCGGAAUUCCUAGUGUAGCGGUGAAAUGCGUAGAUAUUAGGAGGAACACCAGUGGCGAAGGCGGCUUGCUGGACAGAGACUGACGUUGAGGCUCGAAAGCGUGGGGAGCGAACAGGAUUAGAUACCCGUGUAU